UACGUCCUAGAAGGCAUUGAUUUAUAACCUCCAUUUGGUCACUUUGGUUAUAAGGAGCUAAUAGUGAAACCGUUCUAAAAAAAA
rnacentral:ncRNA from 2 species